GGGUGUGAAGGUGGUCUGGCUGUGACAUCUAUCACCUCAUUGAUUGCCAGGAUUGACUGGGCUGAUCUGGCAACCAGGCUGGUGUUCCCUGCCUCCCUCACCACUCCAUGAGUGUCUAAUGCUACACACUCAACAGAAGUGGACAACCACCCUGAUAAAAGGGGCUCUUUCCUCAGUCAAAGGUACAAGAGUAGCUGUUCUCCCUUGCUAAAACCUCCAAGGAAGCUCUCAAGGAAACCCCUCUCAGCCACAUAUGGGCAUUUGAGUGUUGGAUAUUAUGUACAUACUUAGAAUCUGUGUCAAUAUUGAUGGUUUUAUCUUU
rnacentral:snRNA from 1 species